GUCUACAUUGACUACAUUGUAAUCAAGUUGGAGCAUAAUUGUUUUGAGUGAAAUUUGCAAAUUGCAAAUACAUUCCUAACAGCAUGGUAUAAGGGGAAAUCCUGAGAGCUUGGAAUUCUCUGAUCUACACAAUUAUCUUCCCAGAAUCCCUCCAAGGAAGCUUCUUAAAGAAGGUGAAAGAGGAGUAUAAAAGCUUCAUUAAGAAACAAACAAGCAAAAAUAACACCUAAGAUCUUGGCAACUAAUGUUAUUAUAAAGAGAGAAAAAAAAAUGGAAGUAGCAUCAGUUUUCAUUUUCUUGGCCUCAAAGAUUGCGGCAGACAGCUGCUAAAGGCAUGAAAUUAACAGAUGCCUGCCAUUUAGAAGGAAAGCUCUGGUGAAUGGACAGCAUGCUAAAAAUCAAAGAUGUCAUCUUAAUUACAAAGGUCUCUUUAGACAAAGCUAUGUUUUGGGUUUUUUCUAGUAGCAAUGUUUGGCUUUAAGAGUUGGACUAUAAGGAAAGCUGAGUACCAUGGAAGUGAUGCUUUUGAACUAUGGUGGUAGAGAGCAAGAUGGUGAUAGGAGAUGGAAGGAGGAUGGAUUUAAACUACUCUUUUAAAAAUAUUUUCUGGGAUUGUCACAUUCUCAUUCCAGCAGAAUCAAUGACCUUUUCUCAGUUUUCAUUAAACUGAAUGUUUUUAAAGCA